UUUUAUGGAGAGUUUGAUCCUGGCUCAGGAUGAACGCUGGCGGCGUGCCUAAUACAUGCAAGUCGAGCGAACGGACGAGAAGCUUGCUUCUCUGAUGUUAGCGGCGGACGGGUGAGUAACACGUGGAUAACCUACCUAUAAGACUGGGAUAACUUCGGGAAACCGGAGCUAAUACCGGAURAUAUUUUGAACCGCAUGGUUCAAAAGUGAAAGACGGUCUUGCUGUCACUUAUAGAUGGAUCCGCGCUGCAUUAGCUAGUUGGUAAGGUAACGGCUUACCAAGGCAACGAUGCAUAGCCGACCUGAGAGGGUGAUCGGCCACACUGGAACUGAGACACGGUCCAGACUCCUACGGGAGGCAGCAGUAGGGAAUCUUCCGCAAUGGGCGAAAGCCUGACGGAGCAACGCCGCGUGAGUGAUGAAGGUCUUCGGAUCGUAAAACUCUGUUAUUAGGGAAGAACAUAUGUGUAAGUAACUGUGCACAUCUUGACGGUACCUAAUCAGAAAGCCACGGCUAACUACGUGCCAGCAGCCGCGGUAAUACGUAGGUGGCAAGCGUUAUCCGGAAUUAUUGGGCGUAAAGCGCGCGUAGGCGGUUUUUUAAGUCUGAUGUGAAAGCCCACGGCUCAACCGUGGAGGGUCAUUGGAAACUGGAAAACUUGAGUGCAGAAGAGGAAAGUGGAAUUCCAUGUGUAGCGGUGAAAUGCGCAGAGAUAUGGAGGAACACCAGUGGCGAAGGCGACUUUCUGGUCUGUAACUGACGCUGAUGUGCGAAAGCGUGGGGAUCAAACAGGAUUAGAUACCCUGGUAGUCCACGCCGUAAACGAUGAGUGCUAAGUGUUAGGGGGUUUCCGCCCCUUAGUGCUGCAGCUAACGCAUUAAGCACUCCGCCUGGGGAGUACGACCGCAAGGUUGAAACUCAAAGGAAUUGACGGGGACCCGCACAAGCGGUGGAGCAUGUGGUUUAAUUCGAAGCAACGCGAAGAACCUUACCAAAUCUUGACAUCCUUUGACAACUCUAGAGAUAGAGCCUUCCCCUUCGGGGGACAAAGUGACAGGUGGUGCAUGGUUGUCGUCAGCUCGUGUCGUGAGAUGUUGGGUUAAGUCCCGCAACGAGCGCAACCCUUAAGCUUAGUUGCCAUCAUUAAGUUGGGCACUCUAAGUUGACUGCCGGUGACAAACCGGAGGAAGGUGGGGAUGACGUCAAAUCAUCAUGCCCCUUAUGAUUUGGGCUACACACGUGCUACAAUGGACAAUACAAAGGGCAGCGAAACCGCGAGGUCAAGCAAAUCCCAUAAAGUUGUUCUCAGUUCGGAUUGUAGUCUGCAACUCGACUACAUGAAGCUGGAAUCGCUAGUAAUCGUAGAUCAGCAUGCUACGGUGAAUACGUUCCCGGGUCUUGUACACACCGCCCGUCACACCACGAGAGUUUGUAACACCCGAAGCCGGUGGAGUAACCUUUUAGGAGCUAGCCGUCGAAGGUGGGACAAAUGAUUGGGGUGAAGUCGUAACAAGGUAGCCGUAUCGGAAGGUGCGGCUGGAUCACCUCCUUUCUAA
rnacentral:rRNA from 1 species